UAAGCCUGUCAUGUAACCAUUAAAAUCCUAGAAUAAACCAUAGGCAGCAAGAUCUCAGACAUCGUUCAUAGCAAUAUGUUUACAGAUACAUCUCCUACGGCAAAG